GCACAUCAAGUGGCAAAAAACUAGAUUUACAAGAGGAAAGAGGCGCAUUGUUCAAAAUGGAGAUUGCAUUGUUGCAGUUUGCAGGCCACACUCGCUCGCUCUCUCUCCCCCCCCCAACCCCCUUUUUUUCCUCUUCAAAAUUUGUGCCAGUGCAGUGUCUCCACCGGGCAGGAUUGAAACUUUGGCAAACACAUAUCCAUUGCAUUCAUUUUUCUCCCCUUGUUUUGGUGUGGUUUUCUGGAAUGAAAGAAGCCUCUUGUUUUGCAAACCUCUUUGCAUUUCUAAUGUGGUUUCUUUCGGAUUUUUAUUAUAUAUCUGUUACUUAAAAGGGAAUUAAGGAUUUGGACAGAUUGUGGUACACAAACACGCACAAAAAAAUGCGUUUUCACACCCCUAGCUGUGGUUUUAAAAUUGUGUUAAGGAAACGGAUCAUUUGGGUUAGUAGGGGAACCUUAUCUGGUCCUGUGUGUUUGUUUUUAUUCUUCGAGUGCUAAUGGGCCCGUGCAACAGUUGCUGUUAAAUGGCUGAUUAAAAAGCAACGCAGAAAGCCAAACAAGACCCAACCAAAUUUGGUUAUUCAUCCGAUUCAGAAUUAUUUUGGUUAAAUCAAAAAUAAAAGUACAAAACUACAGGAACGCGCGUCUUAACUCAUUUGAUCGCUUUGCCUUGCUUGGGAAAUGCAGUUUCGUGUCACCU
rnacentral:lncRNA from 1 species